rfam:Glossina palpalis gambiensis isolate 146720 unplaced genomic scaffold Scaffold733, whole genome shotgun sequence.
CUAAAGGCUCUCCAAUAGAGCCAUCUAGAGUUACAAUAGAGUCUUUU